GUCUGUGGCCAUAGCACCCUGAACACACCCAAUCUCAUCUGAUCUCAGAAGCUAAGCAGGGUCAGGCCUGGUUAGUAUGUGGAUGGGAGAAAUAUAUCGUCUCCAGACG
rnacentral:rRNA from 1 species